UACGGAGGGUGCAAGCAUUAAUCGGAUUUAUUGGGCGUAAAGGGCGCGUAGGCUGCGAAGUCAGUCAGGUGUGAAAUGCUGGGGCUUACCCCCAGAACAGCACUUGAAACAGCUUCGCUAGAGGAUAGGCGGGGAAAACGGAAUUCCACAAGUAGCGGUGAAAUGCGUAGAUAUGUGGAAGAACACCGGUGGCGAAGGCGGUUUUCUAGCUUAUUCCUGACGCUGAUGCGCGAAAGCAAGGGGAGCAAAC
rnacentral:rRNA from 1 species